rnacentral:rRNA from 1 species
UUCCGGUUGAUCCUGCCGGAGGCCAUUGCUAUCGGAGUCCGAUUUAGCCAUGCUAGUCGAGCGAGGUUAGCCCUCGCGGCGAACAGCUCAGUAACACGUGGCCAAGCUACCCUGCAGAGGGGGACAGCGUCGGGAAACUGACGGGAAUCCCCCAUACCGGUCUCACGCUGGAAUGCCGAGACCGACAAACGCUCCGGCGCUGCAGGAUGCGGCUGCGGCCGAUUAGGUAGUCGGUGGGGUAACGGCCCACCGAGCCGAUAAUUGGUACGGGGUGUGAGAGCACGAGCCCGGAGACGGAAUCUGAGACAAGAUUCCGGGCCCUACGGGGCGCAGCAGGCGCGAAACCUUUACACUGCACGAACGUGCGAUAAGGGGACUCCGAGUGCGAGGGCAUACAGUCCUCGCUAUUGUGUACCGUAGGGUGGUACACGACCAAGAGCUGGGCAAGACCGGUGCCAGCCGCCGCGGUAAUACCGGCAGCUCGAGUGAUGGCCGAUUUUAUUGGGCCUAAAGCGUCCGUAGCUGGCCCUGCAAGUCCGUCGGGAAAUCCACUCGCCUAACGAGUGGGCGUCCGGCGGAAACUACAGGGCUUGGGACCGGAAGACUUGAGGGGUACGUCUGGGGUAGGAGUGAAAUCCUGUAAUCCUGGACGGACCGCCGAUAGCGAAAGCACCUCAAGACGACGGAUCCGACAGUGAGGGACGAAAGCUAGGGUCUCGAACCGGAUUAGAUACCCGGGUAGUCCUAGCUGUAAACGAUGUUCGCUAGAUGUGGCACAGGCUACGUGCCUGUGCUGUGUCGUANGNGCCGAGAAGCGAACCGCCUGGGAAGUACGUCCGCAAGGAUGAAACUUAAAGGAAUUGGC